rnacentral:rRNA from 1 species
AUUGAACGCUGGCGGCAGGCUUAACACAUGCAAGUCGAGCGAGCGGCGGACGGGUGAGUAAUGUCUGGGAAACUGCCUGAUGGAGGGGGAUAACUACUGGAAACGGUAGCUAAUACCGCAUACCAUCAGAUGUGCCCAGAUGGGCUUAGCUAGUAGGUGGGGUAAUGGCUCACCUAGGCGACGAUCCCUAACUGGUCUGAGAGGAUGACCAGACACAAUGGAACUGAGACACGGUCCAGACUCCUACGGGAGGCAGCAGUGGGGAAUAUUGCACAAUGGGCGCAAGCAUGAUGCAGCCAUGCCGAGUGUGUGAAGAAGGCCUUCGGGUUGUAAAGCACUUUCAGCGAGGAGGCGUUACUAGCAGAAGAAGCACCGGCUAACUCCGUGCCAGCAGCCGCGGUAAUAC